GGCGCCGCUGCCACCGCCGCCCGCCGGGCUCUUGGCGCUGCCGUUGGCCGAUCGGUUCUUCCCCAGUAACUCGGGCCCUUUCUCCAUCAUGCCGGGCAUGGUAGAAGAGGGGAGGGGGAAAGGGGAAGAAACCAGUAAUGAGAAAGGAGCUGAAGAAACAAGAGCAGAGAGAGAUUAACUGAUGGAGCAAGACUUUGAAGAAUGAAGGAGCAACAAGGACAAGGUGGCUGGAUUGGUCUUGACCAAGAGGCAGUACACUUCAUCCUCUGAGACUAGAGAAAGCUAAAAAAGAGAUACUUGGAGGCAUGCUCCUUGAAAGAAUAUAGGACCUACCUCAAGUCCCUUACCUCCCAUUCCAUCUUUAACCUGAGGACACAGGAGACCUUCAUGGGAAAGAGGGGAGGGUUACAAGGAAAAGAACAAAUGGUAAUUCUGGAAGGUGAAGGAUAAUGGGAAGACAAGAAUUCACCCUGUAUGUGUUCAAAUGAAAGUUCUGAGAACUUUGGUAAUGAACAAAGAAGAAAGACUUUUGAAUAACUUUCCAGAUGUGUUCCAGGCAAUUGUGAUAAAGAAAGGGGAUUUUGUUGAAGUUUUAAGAACUUCUGAACAAAUAGGAUAUGAAAAUGCCAGUAUUGAAAUUAAUGCAAGAAACUCUCUGCAUGGAAUCCCACUAUGAAACUAAAGAAGCCAAAAGGGAACUGUAAUAUCUCUUUUGAAAGAAUUAGAAAAACAGCUUGCUGUCAACAAAAAGAUCACAACCCAUGGAAAAGAUAGCUAUUAAAAAUAUGUCAUUAAAGUCAACAAGAGAGAGACAGAGAGAGACAGAGACAAAGAUCAUUUGGAGAUGGAGUAAAAAGAAAAUAUCUGGAGUUAGCUAAUAACCAAUAUGUCCUCUUCCAACUAGUGUAGAAUUAGAAAGAGCUUUCUCAGCAACUGGAAAAAUGUGCACAAAAAUAAGUUCACUAUCUAAUAAAAACCAAUUGGCACUUAAAGAAACAUCUUUCUUAAAAAAAAAAGAUAUCAUAUUUCAUCUUCUAUUUUUCAUGAUUAAUUACAUUUUCUUUAUUUCAUGUAGUGUGUAUAUUCGUUUGUAACACUUCAUUUGUUUUACCU